GACGAACGCUGGCGGCGUGCUUAACACAUGCAAGUCGAACGGUGAAGCGCCUUCCUUUUUGGUGGGUGUGGAUGAGUGGCGAACGGGUGAGUAACACGUGAGUAACCUGCCCCCUUCUUCUGGAUAACCGCAUGAAAGUGUGGCUAAUACGGGAUAUUCUGGGUCUGUCGCAUGAUGGGUCUGGGAAAGAUAUUGUUUCGGUGGGGGAUGGGCUCGCGGCCUAUCAGCUUGUUGGUGGGGUGAUGGCCUACCAAGGCGGUGACGGGUAGCCGGCCUGAGAGGGUGGACGGCAACACUGGGAAUGAGAGGCGGACCAGACUCCUACGGGAGGCAGCAGUGGUGAAUAUUGCACGAUGGGCGGAAGGCUGAUGCAGCGACGCCGCGUGAGGGAUGGAGGCCUGCGGGUUGUGAACCUCUUUCGCCAGUGAAGCAGGCCUGCCUCGUUUGUGGGUGGGUUGACGGUAGCUGGAUAAGAAGCGCCGGCUAACUACGUG
rnacentral:rRNA from 1 species